AGCGAACGCUGGCGGCAGGCUUAACACAUGCAAGUCGAGCGGGUGUAGCAAUACAUCAGCGGCAGACGGGUGAGUAACGCGUGGGAACGUACCUUUUGGUUCGGAACAACACAGGGAAACUUGUGCUAAUACCGGAUAAGCCCUUACGGGGAAAGAUUUAUCGCCGAAAGAUCGGCCCGCGUCUGAUUAGCUAGUUGGUAGGGUAACGGCCUACCAAGGCGAUGAUCAGUAGCUGGUCUGAGAGGAUGAUCAGCCACAUUGGGACUGAGACACGGCCCCAACUCCUACGGGAGGCAGCAGUGGGGAAUAUUGGACAAUGGGGGCAACCCUGAUCCAGCCAUGCCGCGUGAGUGAUGAAGGCCCUAGGGUUGUAAAGCUCUUUUGUGCGGGAAGAUAAUGACGGUACCGCAAGAAUAAGCCCCGGCUAACUUCGUGCCAGCAGCCGCAGUAAGAC
rnacentral:rRNA from 1 species